UUACCUGUGAGAAAAUUCCCGACCCUUGUUUCCCGAGAAAUUUCCAAAGAGAUUUUUUUCCUUCCCGAACUCUGAGACAGAAGUUCCAUGUCUAUUUUCAACUCGAGUUGCGAUUUGAUUGUUUAAGUUUCGCGGGGUGGAACCUCAAGGAGACUGCCGGUGAUAUACCGGAGGAAGGUGGGGAUGUCUUCAAUUCUUCACGGCCCUUUCGCGUAGGGCUCCACCCCGCUACAAUGGCUCAUACAAAAAAGUUGCGCACUCGGCAGGGGAAACCAACCCCCCAAAAGCCAUCGUAGUUCGGAACGCACUCUGCACCUCGAUUGCAUGAAGCCGGAAUCGCUAGUAAUCGCGGAUCAAAAGUAUACCGAGAGAACCCCG
rnacentral:rRNA from 1 species